GAUGAACGCUGGCGGCGUGCUUAACACAUGCAAGUCGAGCGAAGCACUCUGAUUUCUUCGGAAUGAAGAGUGACUGAGCGGCGGACGGGUGAGUAACGCGUGGGUAACCUGCCUCACACAGGGGGAUAACAGUUAGAAAUGACUGCUAAUACCGCAUAAGACCACAGCACCGCAUGGUGCAGGGGUAAAAACUCCGGUGGUGUGAGAUGGACCCGCGUCUGAUUAGCUAGUUGGUGAGGUAACGGCUCACCAAGGCGACGAUCAGUAGCCGACCUGAGGGGGUGACCGGCCACAUUGGGACUGAGACACGGCCCAAACUCCUACGGGAGGCAGCAGUGGGGAAUAUUGCACAAUGGGCGAAAGCCUGAUGCAGCGACGCCGCGUGAAGGAUGAAGUAUUUCGGUAUGUAAACUUCUAUCAGCAGGGAAGAAAAUGACGGUACCUGACUAAGAAGCCCCGGCUAACUACGUGCCAGCAGCCGCCGUAACAC
rnacentral:rRNA from 1 species